CCGCAUGGUGCUACCCCGGGCUCCUCUGAGGAGCUCCGCUCCCUGGUGACGACGCGAGCCCCAAUGCCCGUGCAAGAUCGAUUAGGCCGCGCUGUGUUGCAGAUCGGUUCGCGAUCUCCAUCGGCUGAUCUGUGUCAAUGCGUUGGCUAAAUAA
rnacentral:snoRNA from 1 species